rnacentral:sRNA from 2 species
UGUAUCUGAAGCCUGACGAGGAUGAGAACCUCCGGGGGCAAGAGGUUCGACCCGAGCGAAGCGAGAGAACGUUGCGUCAGCAACGGCCCGCAGGGCGAGCCACGCAGUGGCGAGUCAUCCUCUAUCACCGACC